AGUGGGGAAUAUUGCACAAUGGGGGAAACCCUGAUGCAGCCAUGCCGCGUGUGUGAAGAAGGCCUUCGGGUUGUAAAGCACUUUCAGUAGGGAGGAAAGGUAAUGGUUUAAUACACCAUUACUGUGACGUUACCUACAGAAGAAGGACCGGCUAACUCCGUGCCAGCAGCCGCGGUAAUACGGAGGGUCCGAGCGUUAAUCGGAAUUACUGGGCGUAAAGCGUGCGCAGGCGGUUUGUUAAGCGAGAUGUGAAAGCCCUGGGCUCAACCUAGGAAUAGCAUUUCGAACUGGCGAACUAGAGUCUUGUAGAGGGGGGUAGAAUUCCAGGUGUAGCGGUGAAAUGCGUAGAGAUCUGGAGGAAUACCGGUGGCGAAGGCGGCCCCCUGGACAAAGACUGACGCUCAGGCACGAAAGCGUGGGGAGCAAACAGGAUUAGAUACCCUGGUAGUCCACGCCAUAAACGAUGUCUACUCGGAGUUUGGUGUCUUGAACACUGGGCUCUCAAGCUAACGCAUUAAGUAGACCGCCUGGGGAGUACGGCCGCAAGGUUA
rnacentral:rRNA from 1 species